rnacentral:rRNA from 1 species
GAAUUUUGGACAAUGGGCGCAAGCCUGAUCCAGCAAUGCCGCGUGCAGGAUGAAGGCCUUCGGGUUGUAAACUGCUUUUGUACGGAACGAAAAGGCUCUCUCUAAUACAGGGGGCUCAUGACGGUACCGUAAGAAUAAGCACCGGCUAACUACGUGCCAGCAGCCGCGGUAAUACGUAGG